rnacentral:rRNA from 1 species
UACGUAGGUCUCGAGCGUUAUCCGGAUUUACUGGGCGUAAAGCGUGCGUAGGUGUCCUUUUAAGUCUUCGGUUAAAGCCCCGGGCCCAACUUGGGAAGCGUCGAAGAUACUGGAAGGAUUGAGUGUGGCAGAGGUAGAUGGAAUGCAUAGUGUAGGGGUAAAAUCCGUAGAUAUUAUGCAGAACACCAGUGGCGAAGGCGAUCUACUGGGCCAUUACUGACACUGAGGCACGAAAAGCGUGGGUAGCGAACGGG